rnacentral:SRP_RNA from 1 species
GCCGGGUGCGGUGGCGCAUGCCUGUAGUCCCAGCUACUAGGGAGGCUGAGGUGAAAGGAUCGCUUGAGCCUAGGAGUUCUGGGCUGUAGUGCGUUAUGCCGAUAGGGUGUCCGCACUAAGUUCGGCAUCAAUAUGGUGACCUCCCGGGAGCAGGGGACCACUACCCGUGCUGAUCAGUAGUGGGGCCAUGCCUGUGAAUAGUCACUGCACUCCAGCCUGGGCAACAUAGUGAGACCCCAUCUCU